AGUAAGGUGGCUGAAAUAUAGGCGGUAAAUUGUAAAUUUAUUUAUGAUUGUUAAAAUCCUUUACUA
rnacentral:tRNA from 1 species